UCGUCACACUAUCAUUAACUGAAUCCAUAGGUUAAUGAGGCGAACCGGGGGAACUGAAACAUCUAAGUACCCCGAGGAAAAGAAAUCAACCGAGAUUCCCCCAGUAGCGGCGAGCGAACGGGGAGGAGCCCAGAGCCUGAAUCAGCAUGUGUGUUAGUGGAAGCGUCUGGAAAGGCGCGCGAUACAGGGUGACAGCCCCGUACACAAAAGCGCAUGUGCUGUGAGCUCGAUGAGUAGGGCGGGACACGUGGUAUCCUGUCUGAAUAUGGGGGGACCAUCCUCCAAGGCUAAAUACUCCUGACUGACCGAUAGUGAACCAGUACCGUGAGGGAAAGGCGAAAAGAACCCCGGCGAGGGGAGUGAAAAAGAACCUGAAACCGUGUACGUACAAGCAGUGGGAGCACCCUUUGGGUGUGACUGCGUACCUUUUGUAUAAUGGGUCAGCGACUUAUAUUCUGUAGCAAGGUUAACCGAAUAGGGGAGCCGGAGGGAAACCGAGUCUUAAUUGGGCGUUAAGUUGCAGGGUAUAGACCCGAAACCCGGUGAUCUAGCCAUGGGCAGGUUGAAGGUUGGGUAACACUAACUGGAGGACCGAACCGACUAAUGUUGAAAAAUUAGCGGAUGACCUGUGGCUGGGGGUGAAAGGCCAAUCAAACCGGGAGAUAGCUGGUUCUCCCCGAAAGCUAUUUAGGUAGCGCCUCGUGAAUUCAUCUCCGGGGGUAGAGCACUGUUUCGGCUAGGGGGCCAUCCCGGCUUACCAACCCGAUGCAAACUGCGAAUACCGGAGAAUGUUAUCACGGGAGACACACGGCGGGUGCUAACGUCCGUCGUGAAGAGGGAAACAACCCAGACCGCCAGCUAAGGUCCCAAAGUCAUGGUUAAGUGGGAAACGAUGUGGGAAGGCCCAGACAGCCAGGAUGUUGGCUUAGAAGCAGCCAUCAUUUAAAGAAAGCGUAAUAGCUCACUGGUCGAGUCGGCCUGCGCGGAAGAUGUAACGGGGCUAAACCAUGCACCGAAGCUGCGGCAGCGACACUGUGUGUUGUUGGGUAGGGGAGCGUUCUGUAAGCC
rnacentral:rRNA from 1 species